ensembl:lncRNA
GCUCUCCUGGCUCUCCUCCUGCCACUGCUGUGAGGUCUGUGGUUGCUGGUUGGCCUGGAAUGGCCACAGGCCAGGAGAAAUGCUGUCUCAGUGAGCAUGUGCCCACAAGAGCCAGAGGAUGCUGCCAACGUCAGGGCCACGUGAGCCUUUCUCUAGGUCCCCAGGCAUGUUAAAGAGCCUCUUUCAUUUGGUGAAGGCAUGAAGUAAACAUCUAGUUGCAGAAUGAGGGAAUCUGGCUGCUAAAGGGAGAGGCGCCUGCAGUAGGCCGCAGUCCAGGACUCCCCAAAGGGACAACAGAGGGGCAGCUUUAUUCCCAAGAGCCCAUCAGCUGUCACUCCUCUGUGCUCCUGGCACCCUGGCUGGACAGGGAGAGGUUCCUCUGGUCUAUCUGAGCCCUCAGCAUUAGACCUAACUUCAUCCUGCUCCCAAAGCGACCGGGCGAGAUCAAGGUGUGAGGAGCAUCCUGCCUGAUUAAGGUGGAAAAGGCUUUUUGGAAGAACUUUGAGCCAAAGAGCAAUCCUACUGCUAGCAAUCACAACACUGUGAAAACCUACAAAGUUCAGACAAAGUCACUGAAAGGAGAACAAGUCCAUCUCCCCGAGGACAUAAAUCCUGUUUUUCCACUGUAAGAUAGCUCAAUUAAGCCAACUACUAAAUGACGUAAGACAAAGAUAUUGCAACACUUACUAG